rnacentral:rRNA from 1 species
CCUUCGGGGUGCAUUAAUAGAGAACGGGUGAGUAACACGUGGGCAAUCUGCCCUUCACUCUGGGACAAGCCCUGGAAACGGGGUCUAAUACCGGAUAACACUCCUGCCUGCAUGGGCGGGGGUUGAAAGCUCCGGCGGUGAAGGAUGAGCCCGCGGCCUAUCAGCUUGUUGGUGGGGUAAUGGCCCACCAAGGCGACGACGGGUAGCCGGCCUGAGAGGGCGACCGGCCACACUGGGACUGAGACACGGCCCAGACUCCUACGGGAGGCAGCAGUGGGGAAUAUUGCACAAUGGGCGAAAGCCUGAUGCAGCGACGCCGCGUGAGGGAUGACGGCCUUCGGGUUGUAAACCUCUUUCAGCAGGGAAGAAGCGAAAGUGACGGUACCUGCAGAAGAAGCGCCGGCUAACUACGUGCCAGCAGCCGCGGUAAUACGUAGGGCGCAAGCGUUGUCCGGAAUUAUUGGGCGUAAAGAGCUCGUAGGCGGCUUGUCACGUCGGAUGUGAAAGCCCGAGGCUUAACCUCGGGUCUGCAUUCGAUACGGGCUAGCUAGAGUGUGGUAGGAGAGAUCGGAAUUCCUGGUGUAGCGGUGAAAUGCNCAGAUAUCANGANNNANACCGGUGGCGAANGCGGAUCUCUGGGGCAUUACUGACNCUGAGNANCNAAAGCGUGUGGAGNGAACAGNNUANAUACCCUGGU